GGGUUGUGAGGUUAAGCGACUAAGCGUACACGGUGGAUGCCCUGGCAGUCAGAGGCGAUGAAGGACGUGCUAAUCUGCGAUAAGCGUCGGUAAGGUGAUAUGAACCGUUAUAACCGGCGAUUUCCGAAUGGGGAAACCCAGUGUGUUUCGACACACUAUCAUUAACUGAAUCCAUAGGUUAAUGAGGCGAACCGGGGGAACUGAAACAUCUAAGUACCCCGAGGAAAAGAAAUCAACCGAGAUUCCCCCAGUAGCGGCGAGCGAACGGGGAGCAGCCCAGAGCCUGAAUCAGUGUGUGUGUUAGUGGAAGCGUCUGGAAAGGCGCGCGAUACAGGGUGACAGCCCCGUACACAAAAAUGCACAUGCUGUGAGCUCGAUGAGUAGGGCGGGACACGUGGUAUCCUGUCUGAAUAUGGGGGGACCAUCCUCCAAGGCUAAAUACUCCUGACUGACCGAUAGUGAACCAGUACCGUGAGGGAAAGGCGAAAAGAACCCCGGCGAGGGGAGUGAAAAAGAACCUGAAACCGUGUACGUACAAGCAGUGGGAGCCUCUUUAUGGGGUGACUGCGUACCUUUUGUAUAAUGGGUCAGCGACUUAUAUUCUGUAGCAAGGUUAACCGAAUAGGGGAGCCGAAGGGAAACCGAGUCUUAACUGGGCGUUAAGUUGCAGGGUAUAGACCCGAAACCCGGUGAUCUAGCCAUGGGCAGGUUGAAGGUUGGGUAACACUAACUGGAGGACCGAACCGACUAAUGUUGAAAAAUUAGCGGAUGACUUGUGGCUGGGGGUGAAAGGCCAAUCAAACCGGGAGAUAGCUGGUUCUCCCCGAAAGCUAUUUAGGUAGCGCCUCGUGAAUUCAUCUCCGGGGGUAGAGCACUGUUUCGGCAAGGGGGUCAUCCCGACUUACCAACCCGAUGCAAACUGCGAAUACCGGAGAAUGUUAUCACGGGAGACACACGGCGGGUGCUAACGUCCGUCGUGAAGAGGGAAACAACCCAGACCGCCAGCUAAGGUCCCAAAGUCAUGGUUAAGUGGGAAACGAUGUGGGAAGGCCCAGACAGCCAGGAUGUUGGCUUAGAAGCAGCCAUCAUUUAAAGAAAGCGUAAUAGCUCACUGGUCGAGUCGGCCUGCGCGGAAGAUGUAACGGGGCUAAACCAUGCACCGAAGCUGCGGCAGCGACACUAUGUGUUGUUGGGUAGGGGAGCGUUCUGUAAGCCUGCGAAGGUGUGCUGUGAGGCAUGCUGGAGGUAUCAGAAGUGCGAAUGCUGACAUAAGUAACGAUAAAGCGGGUGAAAAGCCCGCUCGCCGGAAGACCAAGGGUUCCUGUCCAACGUUAAUCGGGGCAGGGUGAGUCGACCCCUAAGGCGAGGCCGAAAGGCGUAGUCGAUGGGAAACAGGUUAAUAUUCCUGUACUUGGUGUUACUGCGAAGGGGGGACGGAGAAGGCUAUGUUGGCCGGGCGACGGUUGUCCCGGUUUAAGCGUGUAGGCUGAUUUUCCAGGCAAAUCCGGAAAAUCAAGGCUGAGGCGUGAUGACGAGGCACUACGGUGCUGAAGCAACAAAUGCCCUGCUUCCAGGAAAAGCCUCUAAGCAUCAGGUAACAUCAAAUCGUACCCCAAACCGACACAGGUGGUCAGGUAGAGAAUACCAAGGCGCUUGAGAGAACUCGGGUGAAGGAACUAGGCAAAAUGGUGCCGUAACUUCGGGAGAAGGCACGCUGAUAUGUAGGUGAAGCGACUUGCUCGUGGAGCUGAAAUCAGUCGAAGAUACCAGCUGGCUGCAACUGUUUAUUAAAAACACAGCACUGUGCAAACACGAAAGUGGACGUAUACGGUGUGACGCCUGCCCGGUGCCGGAAGGUUAAUUGAUGGGGUCAGCGCAAGCGAAGCUCUUGAUCGAAGCCCCGGUAAACGGCGGCCGUAACUAUAACGGUCCUAAGGUAGCGAAAUUCCUUGUCGGGUAAGUUCCGACCUGCACGAAUGGCGUAAUGAUGGCCAGGCUGUCUCCACCCGAGACUCAGUGAAAUUGAACUCGCUGUGAAGAUGCAGUGUACCCGCGGCAAGACGGAAAGACCCCGUGAACCUUUACUAUAGCUUGACACUGAACAUUGAGCCUUGAUGUGUAGGAUAGGUGGGAGGCUUUGAAGUGUGGACGCCAGUCUGCGUGGAGCCGACCUUGAAAUACCACCCUUUAAUGUUUGAUGUUCUAACGUAGACCCGUGAUCCGGGUUGCGGACAGUGUCUGGUGGGUAGUUUGACUGGGGCGGUCUCCUCCUAAAGAGUAACGGAGGAGCACGAAGGUUGGCUAAUCCUGGUCGGACAUCAGGAGGUUAGUGCAAUGGCAUAAGCCAGCUUGACUGCGAGCGUGACGGCGCGAGCAGGUGCGAAAGCAGGUCAUAGUGAUCCGGUGGUUCUGAAUGGAAGGGCCAUCGCUCAACGGAUAAAAGGUACUCCGGGGAUAACAGGCUGAUACCGCCCAAGAGUUCAUAUCGACGGCGGUGUUUGGCACCUCGAUGUCGGCUCAUCACAUCCUGGGGCUGAAGUAGGUCCCAAGGGUAUGGCUGUUCGCCAUUUAAAGUGGUACGCGAGCUGGGUUUAGAACGUCGUGAGACAGUUCGGUCCCUAUCUGCCGUGGGCGCUGGAGAACUGAGGGGGGCUGCUCCUAGUACGAGAGGACCGGAGUGGACGCAUCACUGGUGUUCGGGUUGUCAUGCCAAUGGCACUGCCCGGUAGCUAAAUGCGGAAGAGAUAAGUGCUGAAAGCAUCUAAGCACGAAACUUGCCCCGAGAUGAGUUCUCCCUGACUCCUUGAGAGUCCUGAAGGAACGUUGAAGACGACGACGUUGAUAGGCCGGGUGUGUAAGCGCAGCGAUGCGUUGAGCUAACCGGUACUAAUGAACCGUGAGGCUUAACCUUACAACGCCGAAG
rnacentral:rRNA from 1 species